rnacentral:rRNA from 1 species
AAAGAAACCAACCGGGAUUCCCUCAGUWAGGGCGACUGAAAUGGGAAGAGCCCAGCGCAUAACCUCGCGGCCCGUUGCCGGCCGUCGAGGGGUGUUGCGUUUCGGUGGAUCCGUCCCGCUCGUUCCGUUGACCGCCUAAGUCAUUGCUUGAAAGCAGCCCCAGGGAGGGUGAUAGGCCCGUGUGGCGGCGCCUGUAAAAAGGGCAAAAUGUACACGGUCCGGGCGGAGGGAUCUUCACCGUAGAGUCGGGUUGCCUAGUAUUGCAGCCCUAAGCAGGUGGUAAACUCCAUCUAAGGCUAAAUAUUACCACGAGUCCGAUAGCGAACAAGUACCGUGAGGGAAAGUUGAAAAGGACUUUGAAGAGAGAGUUCAAAAGGACGUGAAACCGUUAGUAGCCUAAACGGGUGGAACCGCGAAGGUCGAACGAGGGGAUUCAUCUCGUUGGCGUUCGGCGGCGGGUGGCGGAACAUUGUUGGGCUUGCCCGACAACUGAAAGGACCCAGCGCGUUAAUGAUGUGCAUUAGCUGUGGCCCCGCCCCUGCCUCCGGUGCUGCCGGCGGGUGUAAUUCUCCCUCUUGUAGGUCGCCGCGACCCGUUGCGGGGACCACUAUGGCCGUGCUGGAUUGGUAGCCGAGGGCUUUGGCCCUUGGUGAUGACCGGCUGCGGUUCAGUCUGGGCCCCUGCGACGGUCACUGCCAGGAGACCCCUUCUCACGGAG